UGUAACAAUUUCUUGAGAUGAAGAUCCUGAAUACCAGAGAGGGCCGCUGACAGGUCCAGGAUUACACUUCUAGCACCUAGCAGAGAGAGGAUUCACUACAUCGUGCUUCCUGACAUCUCUCCCUUUGAAGAGCAGUCAGACUCCUGCUUUGCUCUUCAGACUUAGUUUGGGGGUUUAACAGCCAUGUGAAGUGCUCACUCUCCCUUUGCCUUCUGCCAUGAUUGUAAGUUUCCAAAGGCCUCCCCAGAAGCUGAGCAGAUGCUUCCUGUGCAGCCUGCAGAACUGGGUAGCCCACAGCUAUUCCAUGGAUGGGCACAUUUGGAAGUUUGGUUCUAAAAUCUAAAAGAAGAAAUUUAAGUGUGCUGAAGAUAACUGCAACUCCCAACCUAAUGCUGUGUAGUUCUAUGUUCUGCCAUCUUGAAGCAAAGUGGAACCAGAAGUGAGAGGACUAUUUCUAGGUCAUGUUAUGGUUACCCUGACCCCAGUCACUCCCUCUGCUGGUCCAUCCAAACUCAGAGCCAUGAUCAAGGCCCUUCUACAACACAGAUCUGAUUACUUCACUCUCUUUUGUGGGGUAAAUAUAAGCCAAGAGCCAAGCAGGUGCACUGUGGAGGAGGGGAGAAUGCAAGAAGAAAAAAAGAAAGCCCGCCGGGCGCGGUGGCUCACGCCUGCAAUCCCAGCACUUUGGGAGGCCAAGGUUUGAAUGAGAGAGGAAGAAGCACAUUUCCAAUCACUGGGGGAACCUGAGACCAUUCUCUCCAACCCAUUUUGCCAAAUGGAUGUCCUGCGGAAGGUGUUCCAAGAGAGGUGAUGUCAGGAUAGUGUCUGAUUGGAGGGUGCCCAAGUCACAUGGGAGAAUGUGGAAGAACUGGAAAGACUUGGGUGUUGCUGAUGUUAAACUAAUUAGUUAUCUCUGUAGAAACUUGGUGGGUCAUUCCUUCUCUUCACAAUCCCUUUCUUAAAUUUAUGAUAAAUGUGAAUGGUAAUCAAAACAAAAGCAGGGCAAAAUGGGAAAAUAAGUUCCCACUUUAACUUUUUCUGGAUUAUCUAAAGGUCUACUGGGGCAAAUGUGAUGAAAAUUAAAAAAAAUAAAAAACAUCGCGGAUCAUCAGUGUUUAAAAGCAAAUGCUUUCUGAAAAUUAUAGCUUGUAUGUUAACAUGAUUUGUUGAAAUUUGUUUUUGUAAUUUAACCAACUUGACUUGUUAGAAUUGAGCUCAGUUGAAGCACCAUGGCAAUUUAGUUAGAUGAUAAGCUACUGUGUUUCUCUGAAGAAAAGAAAAAUGUAGA